UGUUUCGGCAAGGGGGUCAUCCCGACUUACCAACCCGAUGCAAACUGCGAAUACCGGAGAAUGUUAUCACGGGAGACACACGGCGGGUGCUAACGUCCGUCGUGAAGAGGGAAACAACCCAGACCGCCAGCUAAGGUCCCAAAGUCAUGGUUAAGUGGGAAACGAUGUGGGAAGGCCCAGACAGCCAGGAUGUUGGCUUAGAAGCAGCCAUCAUUUAAAGAAAGCGUAAUAGCUCACUGGUCGAGUCGGCCUGCGCGGAAGAUGUAACGGGGCUAAACCAUGCACCGAAGCUGCGGCAGCGACGCUUAUGCGUUGUUGGGUAGGGGAGCGUUCUGUAAGCCUGUGAAGGUGUACUGUGAGGUAUGCUGGAGGUAUCAGAAGUGCGAAUGCUGACAUAAGUAACGAUAAAGCGGGUGAAAAGCCCGCUCGCCGGAAGACCAAGGGUUCCUGUCCAACGUUAAUCGGGGCAGGGUGAGUCGACCCCUAAGGCGAGGCCGAAAGGCGUAGUCGAUGGGAAACAGGUUAAUAUUCCUGUACUUGGUGUUACUGCGAAGGGGGGACGGAGAAGGCUAUGUUGGCCGGGCGACGGUUGUCCCGGUUUAAGCGUGUAGGCUGGUUUUCCAGGCAAAUCCGGAAAAUCAAGGCUGAGGCGUGAUGACGAGGCACUACGGUGCUGAAGCAACAAAUGCCCUGCUUCCAGGAAAAGCCUCUAAGCAUCAGGUAACAUCAAAUCGUACCCCAAACCGACACAGGUGGUCAGGUAGAGAAUACCAAGGCGCUUGAGAGAACUCGGGUGAAGGAACUAGGCAAAAUGGUGCCGUAACUUCGGGAGAAGGCACGCUGAUAUGUAGGUGAAGCGACUUGCUCGUGGAGCUGAAAUCAGUCGAAGAUACCAGCUGGCUGCAACUGUUUAUUAAAAACACAGCACUGUGCAAACACGAAAGUGGACGUAUACGGUGUGACGCCUGCCCGGUGCCGGAAGGUUAAUUGAUGGGGUUAGCGGUAACGCGAAGCUCUUGAUCGAAGCCCCGGUAAACGGCGGCCGUAACUAUAACGGUCCUAAGGUAGCGAAAUUCCUUGUCGGGUAAGUUCCGACCUGCACGAAUGGCGUAAUGAUGGCCAGGCUGUCUCCACCCGAGACUCAGUGAAAUUGAACUCGCUGUGAAGAUGCAGUGUACCCGCGGCAAGACGGAAAGACCCCGUGAACCUUUACUAUAGCUUGACACUGAACAUUGAGCCUUGAUGUGUAGGAUAGGUGGGAGGCUUAGAAGUGUGGACGCCAGUCUGCAUGGAGCCGACCUUGAAAUACCACCCUUUAAUGUUUGAUGUUCUAACGUUGACCCGUAAUCCGGGUUGCGGACAGUGUCUGGUGGGUAGUUUGACUGGGGCGGUCUCCUCCUAAAGAGUAACGGAGGAGCACGAAGGUUGGCUAAUCCUGGUCGGACAUCAGGAGGUUAGUGCAAUGGCAUAAGCCAGCUUGACUGCGAGCGUGACGGCGCGAGCAGGUGCGAAAGCAGGUCAUAGUGAUCCGGUGGUUCUGAAUGGAAGGGCCAUCGCUCAACGGAUAAAAGGUACUCCGGGGAUAACAGGCUGAUACCGCCCAAGAGUUCAUAUCGACGGCGGUGUUUGGCACCUCGAUGUCGGCUCAUCACAUCCUGGGGCUGAAGUAGGUCCCAAGGGUAUGGCUGUUCGCCAUUUAAAGUGGUACGCGAGCUGGGUUUAGAACGUCGUGAGACAGUUCGGUCCCUAUCUGCCGUGGGCGCUGGAGAACUGAGGGGGGCUGCUCCUAGUACGAGAGGACCGGAGUGGACGCAUCACUGGUGUUCGGGUUGUCAUGCCAAUGGCACUGCCCGGUAGCUAAAUGCGGAAGAG
rnacentral:rRNA from 1 species